GAGCUAUCAAUCUGUCAAUCCUUUAAUUGUCCUGGCCUGGUAAGUUUCCCCGUGUUGAGUCAAAUUAAGCCACAGGCUCCACGCCUGGUGGUGCCACUCCGUCAAUUACUUUAAGUUUCAGCUUUGCAACCAUACUACCCCCGGAACCCAAAUACUUUAGUUUUCCGAAAGCUGCCUUGUUCGUUUAAAUUAAACGAUACAAGAUUGUUGGUUGGCAUCGUUUAUGGUUAGAACUAGGGCGGUAUCUAAUCGCCUUCGAACCUCUAACUUUCGUUCUAGAUUAAUGAAAACAUACUUGGCAAAUGCUUUCGCGCUAGUUUGUCUUUGAAAGAUCAUAGAAUUUCACCUCUCACUUUCAAAUACAAAUGCCUCCGACAAUCCCUUUUAAUCAUUACCACGGCUAAUCACCAUCUUUAUUAGCUUAGGUCAUAUUUUGCUAUACUAUGCACAAAUAUACAAGCAAUAUGCUUGUUUUAAGCACUCUGAUUUUAUCAGAGUAGCUACAAGGCAUCCGUUAAGCUUAUUUGACAAUUAAGUCAAGUAAACCGAAUACCUUAAAACGCGCUAAUAACUGCAAAUGGGUUUCCCCAGAUCCAGUUUUACCCUUCACUUUCAACCACGAGCUUUUUAACCGCAACAACAUUAAUAUACGCUAUUGGAGCUGGAAU
rnacentral:rRNA from 1 species